GGAAGUAAGAGUCGUAACAAGGUUUCCGUAGGUGAACCUGCGGAAGGAUCACUAUUGAAUGAAACACUUCUGGCUUUAUGCUGUUGUGCUGGCCCUUUGGGCAAUGUGCACACGGCUCUGGUCACUUGUUUCUUCUGUUCCACCUGUGCACUGCCUGUAGACACGCUGUGUCUAUGAUAUUUGUUAACACACAACAAUGUUAGUUGGCAUGUUAUAUAUAAUAAUAAAAUAUACAACUUUCAACAACGGAUCUCUUGGCUCUC
rnacentral:misc_RNA from 1 species